CCUAACACAUGCAAGUCGAGCGGUAGCACAGAGAGCUUGCUCUCGGGUGACGAGCGGCGGACGGGUGAGUAAUGUCUGGGAAACUGCCUGAUGGAGGGGGAUAACUACUGGAAACGGUAGCUAAUACCGCAUAAUGUCGCAAGACCAAAGUGGGGGACCUUCGGGCCUCAUGCCAUCAGAUGUGCCCAGAUGGGAUUAGCUAGUAGGUGGGGUAACGGCUCACCUAGGCGACGAUCCCUAGCUGGUCUGAGAGGAUGACCAGCCACACUGGAACUGAGACACGGUCCAGACUCCUACGGGAGGCAGCAGUGGGGAAUAUUGCACAAUGGGCGCAAGCCUGAUGCAGCCAUGCCGCGUGUGUGAAGAAGGCCUUCGGGUUGUAAAGCACUUUCAGCGGGGAGGAAGGCGUUGAGGUUAAUAACCUUGUCGAUUGACGUUACCCGCAGAAGAAGCACCGGCUAACUCCGUGCCAGCAGCCGCGGUAAUACGGAGGGUGCAAGCGUUAAUCGGAAUUACUGGGCGUAAAGCGCACGCAGGCGGUCUGUCAAGUCGGAUGUGAAAUCCCCGGGCUCAACCUGGGAACUGCAUUCGAAACUGGCAGGCUAGAGUCUUGUAGAGGGGGGUAGAAUUCCAGGUGUAGCGGUGAAAUGCGUAGAGAUCUGGAGGAAUACCGGUGGCGAAGGCGGCCCCCUGGACAAAGACUGACGCUCAGGUGCGAAAGCGUGGGGAGCAAACAGGAUUAGAUACCCUGGUAGUCCACGCCGUAAACGAUGUCGAUUUGGAGGUUGUGCCCUUGAGGCGUGGCUUCCGGAGCUAACGCGUUAAAUCGACCGCCUGGGGAGUACGGCCGCAAGGUUAAAACUCAAAUGAAUUGACGGGGGCCCGCACAAGCGGUGGAGCAUGUGGUUUAAUUCGAUGCAACGCGAAGAACCUUACCUGGUCUUGACAUCCACAGAACUUAGCAGAGAUGGUUUGGUGCCUUCGGGAACUGUGAGACAGGUGCUGCAUGGCUGUCGUCAGCUCGUGUUGUGAAAUGUUGGGUUAAGUCCCGCAACGAGCGCAACCCUUAUCCUUUGUUGCCAGCGGUCCGGCCGGGAACUCAAAGGAGACUGCCAGUGAUAAACUGGAGGAAGGUGGGGAUGACGUCAAGUCAUCAUGGCCCUUACGACCAGGGCUACACACGUGCUACAAUGGCAUAUACAAAGAGAAGCGACCUCGCGAGAGCAAGCGGACCUCAUAAAGUAUGUCGUAGUCCGGAUUGGAGUCUGCAACUCGACUCCAUGAAGUCGGAAUCGCUAGUAAUCGUAGAUCAGAAUGCUACGGUGAAUACGUUCCCGGGCCUUGUACACACCGCCCGUCACACCAUGGGAGUGGGUUGCAAAAGAAGUAGGUAGCUUAACCUUCGGGAGGGCGCUUACCAC
rnacentral:rRNA from 1 species